rnacentral:rRNA from 1 species
GAUGAACGCUGGCGGCGUGCCUAAUACAUGCAAGUCGAGCGAACGGACGAGAAGCUUGCUUCUCUGAUGUUAGCGGCGGACGGGUGAGUAACACGUGGAUAACCUACCUAUAAGACUGGGAUAACUUCGGGAAACCGGAGCUAAUACCGGAUAAUAUUUUGAACCGCAUGGUUCAAAAGUGAAAGACGGUCUUGCUGUCACUUAUAGAUGGACCCGCGCUGCAUUAGCUAGUUGGUAAGGUAACGGCUUACCAAGGCAACGAUGCAUAGCCGACCUGAGAGGGUGAUCGGCCACACUGGAACUGAGACACGGUCCAGACUCCUACGGGAGGCAGCAGUAGGGAAUCUUCCGCAAUGGGCGAAAGCCUGACGGAGCAACGCCGCGUGAGUGAUGAAGGUCUUCGGAUCGUAAAACUCUGUUAUUAGGGAAGAACAUAUGUGUAAGUAACUGUGCACAUCUUGACGGUACCUAAUCAGAAAGCCACGGCUAACUACGUGCCAGCAGCCGCGGUAAUACGUAGGUGGCAAGCGUUAUCCGGAAUUAUUGGGCGUAAAGCGCGCGUAGGCGGUUUUUUAAGUCUGAUGUGAAAGCCCACGGCUCAACCGUGGAGGGUCAUUGGAAACUGGAAAACUUGAGUGCAGAAGAGGAAAGUGGAAUUCCAUGUGUAGCGGUGAAAUGCGCAGAGAUAUGGAGGAACACCAGUGGCGAAGGCGACUUUCUGGUCUGUAACUGACGCUGAUGUGCGAAAGCGUGGGGAUCAAACAGGAUUAGAUACCCUGGUAGUCCACGCCGUAAACGAUGAGUGCUAAGUGUUAGGGGGUUUCCGCCCCUUAGUGCUGCAGCUAACGCAUUAAGCACUCCGCCUGGGGAGUACGACCGCAAGGUUGAAACUCAAAGGAAUUGACGGGGACCCGCACAAGCGGUGGAGCAUGUGGUUUAAUUCGAAGCAACGCGAAGAACCUUACCAAAUCUUGACAUCCUUUGACAACUCUAGAGAUAGAGCCUUCCCCUUCGGGGGACAAAGUGACAGGUGGUGCAUGGUUGUCGUCAGCUCGUGUCGUGAGAUGUUGGGUUAAGUCCCGCAACGAGCGCAACCCUUAAGCUUAGUUGCCAUCAUUAAGUUGGGCACUCUAAGUUGACUGCCGGUGACAAACCGGAGGAAGGUGGGGAUGACGUCAAAUCAUCAUGCCCCUUAUGAUUUGGGCUACACACGUGCUACAAUGGACAAUACAAAGGGCAGCGAAACCGCGAGGUCAAGCAAAUCCCAUAAAGUUGUUCUCAGUUCGGAUUGUAGUCUGCAACUCGACUACAUGAAGCUGGAAUCGCUAGUAAUCGUAGAUCAGCAUGCUACGGUGAAUACAAACGCGGGUCU